ensembl:lncRNA
AAUGAGUCUCAAUGUUCAUUCUGUUGGAUAUAUACUGAGCUUAAUGCUUUUCAAUACAGAAUUUAUAAUGCAAGCUAGAAUUAAACAUAUAAUGAAGUCACUCGUUUUCUAGGUCAAAAAAAUAAUUUUUUUCAUGCAUUCAGUUCAGUAGCCUGUGAUAUAUUGUUGUAAAUAUUUCUUUUUUGUAAAAAAUAUUUUUGUAGUCCAGGAGCUAAAUGUGUAAAUGUUUAGCUUCUUAUCUGAUUUAUACAUGUAUGAAAAGAAGCCAUAAAGAGCAAUAUUUGAUUCUUUGCAAAAUUAGAUUAAUAGAAACUGAAGUUUCCAGUCAAGGAAUUAAUAUAUUGGUGAGUAUCUGUGCAUUUACAAUUUUAUAUACAUACAUAAAAUUAUAUACAUGUAUACAAUUUAUUGAUUAUUGAUUAUGUUAUUCAGAGUUGUUCUGGACCUGCAGAGAUAUAUUCUCUUAUCACUUCUGUACCAGAAACAUCUCAGCCCAUAUCUGGAGACCUCGAACACCCAGAAUCACAUCAGGACAGCACAGCAGAUCCCACAGACACUCACUCUUUCAUUAUGUCUGAAAAUUCAAUAUACCAGCCAUCAGAUGUUUUGGUCAACAAACAGAAACAGGGUAAUGCAGAGGAAAAUGAGGUAUGUUUGAACACUGUCACACACCAAACAUACAUAACUGUCCAUCAUGAACAGAAUACAAACACAUUUACUUGUGUCUUAAUAAUCUUUCUUCUUCCUUAAGAAUGUUUAUCACCUGUACUCCAUGAUCCCUGACAAACCAGUUCACUCAAACGCAGAAGAUCACGUGUACAGUUUGAUGAAGAUGCACUGAUGAAUCUCAUGUCUGUGUUCAUUAAGUAUAGCGACUAUAAAUAACAUGUCUUUACUUUCAGACAAAGCAGUAGUUGUUUAUUUUUUUAUUAUUCAGUUUUUAAUGUGGAAUAUACUGUGACUUCAUUGAAUAUCCAGAGCAUCUUCUCUGGCAAUCCCACUAGUACAGUACCACUAGUGUAGCUUGGGCAUUCAGUAAGACCUGAACUAAAAUUUUGAUGAUAAAUGAAAAUGUUUUACUUCUUUUCUGAUGAAAUUGAACCAUCUGAACAUUUGAACCAAAUCUUUUUUUCUUAUUAGUUUUCUGUAUUUUUUUUUUUUUUAAAUGCUUAAAUCAGUUUUUCAAGGUCCAUCAUGUGAUGUUAACUUCUCUUCCCACAAUACCCAGCCAAUUACGUCAGAGAUUUGUUUUGUUAGUAAUUCUGAAUGGUCUGUACUCUGUAUGUUUUAAGAAUCAUCCCCAAAGCUAAAGUAGAAUUUAAACAUUUAUCUUUUAAAAUGGAUUUUAUUUUAAAUGUUUCAGGCCUCUAAAGCUAUUAUAUCAGAUAUUAUUGUUCAUGCUCUGUGAUGCACAUAUAUUGUAUGUAAAUGUACACUACUUCCUAAUUCACCCAUUGUGUAAGACUCAUUCUGUCCAUUUUCUACAUUUACAUUUAUGCAUUUAGCAGACACUUUUAUCCAGGCUAACAUUUUUUACCUAACAUGUUCCCUGGAAAUCAAACCCACAACCUUUUGCGCUGCUAACGCAAUGCGCUACCACUGAGCCACAGGAACACCUCUCUGUAAUUGAGUUGUUCCUCAUAGUUUUUCUACUUUUUUUCUAGUUUUUUGUGGAGGUUCAGUCUUACAGUAAGUGAUCUCUGCUGUUUAUUUUCUUCUUAAAUAAUGUCCACAUUUAUAGGUAAAGUUUUAUUGUCUAAAAUAUUUCAGCAUGUCUGUUUGUUAUGUGUAAAGUUUUAAUAGAACUGAUAAUAGAAACACAUGAACUACCACCUGGCAUAUUCAUUUUACUAUAGAGACUAUUACUGUAGUAAGCCAAAUUUAUUUUUAUUUUAUCAUAUUGCAUGACAAAGGAUAAAACUAAAACACAGUAGCAUGUAGCAGACAGUAAAAAAGGCUAAAAAGACAAUAAAUAUGGACAAUAAAUACUGACA